GCCAGACCUACGAACGCCCCAUCGCCUUCACCUCCAGGUCAAAGAAGCUGUGGAUUCAGUUCAAGUCCAAUGAAGGGAACAGCGCUAGAGGGUUCCAGGUCCCAUACGUGACAUAUGAUGGUCAGAGAGAAGAAGAAAAGCAAAGAAGCCUCAGAGAAGUAACCGGUAAGGUAGGAGGAAAACCAAAGAGCAUGGUGUCCUGGAAGCUCAGUGAAGAACUGGAUCAAGGAGGAGGAGUGACCAGCCAGGUCAAAAGCUACUGAUGCAUCAAGGAGGAUGAAGACCAAGAACUGGCCGUUGGGAUUUAACAACAUGAAGGUCAUUG
rnacentral:lncRNA from 1 species